rnacentral:rRNA from 1 species
UACGAAGGGGGCUAGCGUUGUUCGGAAUCACUGGGCGUAAAGCGCUCGUAGGCGGAUCUUUAAGUCAGGGGUGAAAUCCCGAGGCUCAACCUCGGAACUGCCUUUGAUACUGGGGAUCUCGAGUCCGGGAGAGGUGAGUGGAACUGCGAGUGUAGAGGUGAAAUUCGUAGAUAUUCGCAAGAACACCAGUGGCGAAGGCGGCUCACUGGCCCGGUACUGGACGCUGAGGAGCGAAAGCGUGGGGAGCAAACAGG